rnacentral:rRNA from 1 species
CCCUUAGAUGUCCUGGGCCGCACGCGUGCUACACUGACGCCUACAGCGAGUACUUCCCAGCCCCGAGAGGUGGCUGGUAAUCAGCAAUAGGCGUCGUGAUGGGGAUAGAUCUUUGGAAUUAUGGAUCUUGAACGAGGAAUGCCCAGUAAGCGCAGGUCAUUAGCCUGCGCUGAUUAAGUCCCUGCCCUUUGUACACACCGCCCGUCGCUCCUACCGAUUUCGAGUGGUCCGGUGAAUCUUUCGGACUGCGCGCGGCCUCGUGCCGUGUCGCGGAAAGUCAGGUAAACCUUAUCACUUAGAGGAAGGAGAAGUCGUAACA